rnacentral:misc_RNA from 1 species
UGUUUGAUAGUGAUGCUCCUU